CCUACGGGGGGCAGCAGUGAGGAAUAUUGGUCAAUGGCCGUAAGCCUGAACCAGCCAAGUCGCGUGAAGGAUGAAGGACCUAUGGUUUGUAAACUUCUUUUAUAGGGGAAUAAAGGUAUCCACGUGUGGAUAUUUGCAUGUACUUUAUGAAUAAGGAUCGGCUAACUCCGUGCCAGCAGCCGCGGUAAUACGGAGGAUCCGAGCGUUAUCCGGAUUUAUUGGGUUUAAAGGGUGCGUAGGUUGUUUUUUAAGUCAGCGGUGAAAGUUUGUGGCUCAACCGUAAAAUUGCCGUUGAUACUGGAAGACUUGAGUGUGGUUGAGGUAGGCGGAAUGCGUGGUGUAGCGGUGAAAUGCAUAGAUAUCACGCAGAACACCGAUUGCGAAGGCAGCUUACUAAGCCAUAACUGACACUGAUGCACGAAAGCGUGGGGAUCAAACAGGAUUAGAUACCCGGGUAGUC
rnacentral:rRNA from 1 species